UUCUUUCUUAGAUUUUCAACCCAUGAAAGUGCAGCCCAUGCCAUUGUUUCGGUGAACGGUACUACGAUUGAAGGACAUGUGGUUAAAUGCUAUUGGGGUAAAGAAUCUCCUGAUAUGACUAAAAACUUCCAACAGGUGUCACCACCCCAAUAAACUUAGACAAUGAUAAAUAACAGAGUCCUAUUCACAUAAGGGUUGACUAUAGUCAAUGGGGCCAAUGGAGCCAAGUGUAUGGAAACCCACAACAGUAUGGACAGUAUAUGGCAAAUGGGUGGCAAGUACCGCCUUAUGGAGUAUACGGGCAACCAUGGAAUCAACAAGGAUUUGGAGUAGAUCAAUCACCUUCUGCUGCUUGGAUGGGUGGAUUUGGUGCUCAGCCUCCCCAAGGACAAGCUCCUCCCCCUGUAAUACCUCCUCCUAACCAAGCCGGAUAUGGUAUGGCAAGUUACCAAACACAGUGAGCCGGGACUCUAAAAAAAAAUUGUAAUUCAUGAUAGGCUUCGAUUUCCUGUGACACUCUGAAGACAUGAAAGUAGACAUCGGAAAAUGAAAAUAUUUAUUUUAAAAAUUGAAAUGUUUGGAACCUUUAGCACAGAUUUGCUUUGGUGAAGGACACGUGUCUUCUAGUUCUGCCUUUUUAAGUUUUUGUUCAUGAUGGAUAUGAACAUGAUUUUUCUUUAUGUACAAAAACUAAAAUAAAGUCAAUAAAGACAAUUCUGACUACAAAUUUUGAUAUAAUAGGAAAAAUGGCUAAUACAUUUUGAUUCUUAGAUACUAUUCCAUUUUUAUCUUGCUGUUCAGUAUUUUAACUCACUGUGUUUUUAAAAGAGCAAAAAAGGGAGGAUCGUGAAAACCUGGGAAUCACAUAUAAGUUCAUCCUGAAUCCUGAUACUCCCCUCCCCUUCCC
rnacentral:lncRNA from 1 species